rnacentral:rRNA from 1 species
GACGAACGCUGGCGGCGUGCUUAACACAUGCAAGUCGAACGAAGAGCGAUGGAAGCUUGCUUCUAUCACUCUUAGUGGCGAGCGGGUGAGUAACGCGUAAUCAACCUGCCCUUCAGAGGGGGACAACAGUUGGAAACGACUGCUAAUACCGCAUACGAUCUAAACUCGGCAUCGAGGAUAGAUGAAAGGUGGCCUCUACAUGUAAGCUAUCACUGAAGGAGGGGAUUGCGUCUGAUUAGCUAGUUGGAGGGGUAACGGCCCACCAAGGCGAUGAUCAGUAGCCGGUCUGAGAGGAUGAACGGCCACAUUGGGACUGAGACACGGCCCAGACUCCUACGGGAGGCAGCAGUGGGGAAUCUUCCGCAAUGGACGAAAGUCUGACGGAGCAACGCCGCGUGAGUGAUGACGGCCUUCGGGUUGUAAAGCUCUGUUAAUCGGGACGAAAGGCCUUCUUGCGAAUAGUGAGAAGGAUUGACGGUACCGGAAUAGAAAGCCACGGCUAACUACGUG